rnacentral:rRNA from 1 species
UACGUAGGGUGCAAGCGUUAAUCGGAAUUACUGGGCGUAAAGCGUGCGCAGGCGGUUUUGUAAGUCUGUCGUGAAAGCCCCGGGCUCAACCUGGGAAUUGCGUUGGAGACUGCAAGGCUAGAAUCUGGCAGAGGGGGGUAGAAUUCCACGUGUAGCAGUGAAAUGCGUAGAGAUGUGGAGGAACACCGAUGGCGAAGGCAGCCCCCUGGGUUAAGAUUGACGCUCAUGCACGAAAGCGUGGGGAGCAAACAGG